UCCCUAUUUCAGCAAUGAACAAUAAUAUAUCAUUUGAUAUAUUUUUGCUUUUCUUUCUCAAAUACACAAAAAGAAGUGACAAAAAAAUACAGAAAAAGAAGAAAACAACCCUAAUCCUCCAACAAUGGGUAAACGGAAUUGAAUUCGUCAGAAUGGGUGAACCAAAUUCGUCUCAACAACCGUAAUCCUCCGAAUUCGUCCCCGUCGAAGAACAAUCCGCUGUGGAAGAAGAAAACCCUUCCAUCAACCCUAAUCUGUGAAGAACAACCUCAAUCACUCCGCCGUUAUUAUCCAUCGUUCUCGUGGUUACAAGGGAUGGAUCGGAUGAUGGUGGUAAUUAUCUUUGCAUUUUUCUUUACCGAUGCUAUGAUAUCUAUUCCUAACCAGGGUAUGAUAAAUUCUAUUAAGAAGUAAAAUUUGCUACUUACUACUGUUGAAAGAAUCAUGUCGCUGUUGGUUUGAGAUAUGAGAUUUUGAUAGGAGGUUCUAGGUUUUUUCACAUGAGAUUUUGAUAAGAAGAAUCAUAAUCUUAGUUUUGGACCUCUUUAUCUUAGCAAUACUAUACUAAUUGAUUAUUCAUUGAAUCCUUUAAACCUCUUUAUCUCAGUAUAAUCUUACUUAACAUAACAUAUUAGCAUAUAAUUUUGAAAUCAUGGACACAAAAAAGUCAACAUAUAACAAGCUUGUUAAGUUGUUAGCUUAAUGGUAAAAUUGGUUGUAUUGUAAUCCCUCUUGUUUAAGUUCUAUCUGUUCACUUUUUGUUUGAAUUGCAUUUGUUCCAAGACCUUGGCAAAAGUUGUAAAUUUCUUUCAUAGAUCUCUUGUCAAGCUGGGAAAAUAUGAAUACAUAUUUGCAUCGGUCGUUUAUCAUAUACUCCUAUGUUUCUUCUUUUGAUUUUGAUUUGUCAAUUGUCUAUCUUUGUGCCGGUGAUCACAUGCUUAAUUUACUCUAUUUCAUAUACCUCUAUCUUAGCAACCAUACUUAAGUCCAUUCAAUUUGUUAGGAGAGCCAAAAGAUGAUUCUUUAAGACUUAAAAUUGAUUUUGAUGUGUUUAGUGUUUCUAAUAGUGAUUAGAAUUGAUUCUACAUGUGAUUUUGUCUCUAAAUGUGAUUUUUACACUUAAAUUUAUUCACUUUCAUGUGAAUGUAUCUUAAUAGGGUUCUAGCUAUUGCUAUUGCGUGACCUAAUUUGACUUUCUUAUUUGUUCGGAUUUCACGCUUUCAGUUUCGAUUUGUUCCGUAUUGCACACUUUCAGGUUUCAGUUUGAUUCCUUUGCAUAUGUUAAAAGGCUAUAGUGGAAGCAGCUGAUACUGAAUUCAUCAUACUUGGCCAGCGAAUUUAUUAAAUUACUUGGCCUUAAGGACUUUAUCUUGAGGAGAUCAUUAAGUGGUGACAGA